CAUCCUCCAAGGCUAAAUACUCCUGACUGACCGAUAGUGAACCAGUACCGUGAGGGAAAGGCGAAAAGAACCCCGGCGAGGGGAGUGAAAAAGAACCUGAAACCGUGUACGUACAAGCAGUGGGAGCACGCUUAGGCGUGUGACUGCGUACCUUUUGUAUAAUGGGUCAGCGACUUAUAUUCUGUAGCAAGGUUAACCGAAUAGGGGAGCCGAAGGGAAACCGAGUCUUAACUGGGCGUUAAGUUGCAGGGUAUAGACCCGAAACCCGGUGAUCUAGCCAUGGGCAGGUUGAAGGUUGGGUAACACUAACUGGAGGACCGAACCGACUAAUGUUGAAAAAUUAGCGGAUGACUUGUGGCUGGGGGUGAAAGGCCAAUCAAACCGGGAGAUAGCUGGUUCUCCCCGAAAGCUAUUUAGGUAGCGCCUCGUGAAUUCAUCUCCGGGGGUAGAGCACUGUUUCGGCAAGGGGGUCAUCCCGACUUACCAACCCGAUGCAAACUGCGAAUACCGGAGAAUGUUAUCACGGGAGACACACGGCGGGUGCUAACGUCCGUCGUGAAGAGGGAAACAACCCAGACCGCCAGCUAAGGUCCCAAAGUCAUGGUUAAGUGGGAAACGAUGUGGGAAGGCCCAGACAGCCAGGAUGUUGGCUUAGAAGCAGCCAUCAUUUAAAGAAAGCGUAAUAGCUCACUGGUCGAGUCGGCCUGCGCGGAAGAUGUAACGGGGCUAAACCAUGCAC
rnacentral:rRNA from 1 species